GGGAUACCUCCGCACGCACAGGCUGAGGGCACUGGUACAAGCCUCCAGCGUGCUGUCAGAGGCUGGUUCAAUUCAACAGCUUCAGCUCAGAGGCAGGGACAACCCAAAGAUCUGCCCUCAGACUGGGGCCAGAGAGAAGUCAUGCAGAAAGGAAGCAAAAAGCACAGUUCAUUGAAGAUCCCAAGCACACUCAUGGAGGCACUCUUUCUAGAAGCUUUGAGUCUUCCAACAGCAUCUGGUUUCUUCUUGGGGACUACCUGAGGUCCAGCUCCCCUGGUACUCACAGGCCCAGCUUCCUGAGGAAGGAUCAACACCAAACUCCCAAGAGUGGCUGGAGAGCCAGCCAGGUGAUUCGCCUAGACUUGGCUCACUUCUCCUGUGGAGUUAACUCUGGGGUGGGAUCAGCUCUGGGGCUGACUUGGGGGUCAGAUCUAUUCUUUGGGCUGGGCUGGAACUCCCACAGGGAGGGACUUGAAGGAGGGGACAGUCUUUUGUUUCCCAGGACCCCCCUUACCCAGAGGGAAGGAGUAAGACAUUAAUGUUUGUAAGUGCUCAAGGCCAAGCUGUUUUUCACUCUCAAACAGCAUAAUUGCAUUUUACCCAGCAACAUGGCUCCACUCCCAGGCUUCCUCUCCUCCCAGCUGUGAUUCUGAUUAUGCCUUGACAGGAUCAAAGAUGCAUGCGACUUCAGUUUGUCUAGCAUUCGCACUAAAGGCAGUGAGCACUUGGAGCUUGAAUUCGGCACAGGGGAAAUGCUCUGUGAAGGCCGGGGGCUGCCAAGUGUGCCAAUGGUGAUGUCAAAGAGGCAGCUUCAGAGGCAAGGCUACGAGAGGCUCAGUGUGUCCUCAGCACCUCCCACUUCCUCUUUCAGUGCUCCUCUCUCUUGUGACAGGCUCCCCCAGCCCUACUCCCACAUUAAAACUGUUCCCCAUUCCCAUGGGCCUCCGAUCUGGCCUUCAGGCCCAUUUUCAGCUCCACUACUGGAGAGCAGAAGUGCUACCCUCUCCAGUAUCAUGGUCUGUUAAUGACAGAAUUGCCUAAAACUGUUCUACCAGGAGGAUUUCAGAUAGCAGGAGGUAGGGGGCCUUUGAAAUUUCUUUGGUGCCACCGCAUCAGAGGGUGCCCAUUCUGUCUACAAUCCCAACCUCUCAUAGAUCACAGCAAGAACACCCACACUUCCUUUACCCGUCUUCCAAGGACUUUCACGGGAUCCACAAGUGGGUCUGAACCCCAGCAAUGAAAUACCAAACCCAAUAAGCCAGCUGGAGCCCACACUCUCCAGUCAGCCAUCAAGACCCACCAGCUUUUCCAUCUUGGCAUCUAAGAUUCACCAUCUCCUCUUGACCUACUCUGGUCAGGCCUAUAUUGUGUCUUGUUUAGACUACUAGAAUAGUCUCUCAAUUCUUUAGUCUCUUCUCCAAUCCACCUUCUGGAUACCUAUGAUCCUCCUAAACUCCUUCUCUAAUUGUAUCACUUUACUGCUCUAAAUAAAUUAUAGCUAACACUAUAUACAUGCCAGGUAACAUGGUGGACAAUUUUAUGAAGUAUUUCCCUUAAACCUCACAACAGCUCUAUGAGGUACCAACAUCCCUAAUUGUUAGGUAAGGAAACUGAGGCCCAACUAAGGUAGGUAAUUUGCCCAGGGCCAUACAGAGGCAGCUGGCAUGUGAGCCCAGGCAGUGGGCUCUUCUCUUCCCGUUGCCCACAGGAUGACGUCCACAUUCUUCAGGCUGACACCAGAAACUUGCUUCAGCAUGGCUGGACUGGCCCUUCUAGCCUCUCCCCCUCAUGUUCUAAACGUACGUGACCCUUCACUGUUUAUUCUCUAGUCUAGGCCACUCUAGUGUUUAUGCUGAGUACCUUCCAGAAAUACCUUUUCUCCUUUUCUACCAAUCCAACCCAACACAUCCUGGAGGUCUAAGUCAAAUUCUACCUCAUUCAUGAAAUCUGUUCUCUGAUUGCCCCUUUCAAUUCUGAUCUCCUCUCUGAAAUCCUAUAAUAGCACUUAAUAGACUGUCUUGUUAUCCUGAAGACUGGAAUGAUGCUUCUAGGAAGGUUGCCAGAUCUUUGAGGGCACAGAUUACGUGUCUUCAUCUUUUCAUGAAUUCCUAACAAUUACAGCGCCCGUUUUUUUAAAAAGAGAAAUUGGGAUAUAGGGCCUGAUAUGGUGACUAUGUAUUAAAAAGGUAAAAAUACUUAAAAUUAGGAGUAUUUUGAAAAAUUUAAGACUAUCACCAUUUUACCAAUGCCAUCAAGCACAGGACUGAGCACAUAAGAGGUCCUUAAUAAAUGCUUAUUCGAUAAAUGACCAUGCAACAACAGUGAAGUCCAAAAUGGAGUAGAGUCGAAGUCUUUUAAGGGAAAAAUGUUGUUAAACCACAGAUGUUAAACCACACUGUAUUUGGCAUCAACUCUGAUUAGCAGCUCUAAAAAUGCUCAGGUUAGAGAAUUAAACAUGAGGCCUGCUACAUGUGCCUACAUAUUAGGCGCAGAAGGGAGAAAGUCUUGUUACCUCCUGGAGCUAAAUUGGACUCCUUGUUAGAUCUGUUUCUUUGACUUUAACCUUUGCUUUUUGUUGCUUUUGUUAUUGUAAUCAUACGUGAUGGCCUGCCUCAGGGAACACUGCCCCUCUACCUGAAUGUUGAACUAAAGUGCCUCUGUUCAGCUCACAGGCAGACAAUCUGCCCGCCCACCUGUGUGAAUGGGUGAAGUUAACAUAUCCUCUCACUGAGGCUGGUUAGUCCCAGAGAUCUUCUGUAAGACUGAUGGCCCUUUAACUUUACUUCCUUACAGCCUCUCCCUCUCUGGUUCUAUAAAACAAACUGGCAUCCAG